GAAUAGCCUUUUUUUCAGCAGAAAAUACGGCGCGUUGCAGUUCCACCUCUUCACCGGGGUUUGGGAAAGUUUGCAAAUUUACAAGUAGUUUCUGGUUGGCAGCGCUGAGCACUUAACGCUCAAACUCAGAGCUGCCAACACAAAAAGGGGUGGGUGUCUCAGCGACUCAAAGUCCAAGUCAAUUAGGAGUGGCGUUGAACUUGUAUUUUUGUCCUGGGAGCAGCCACCAUCUGCCAUCAGCUGCAGCAGGACCUCAGGUGUGGAGGUGGGGUUCACCCCGCGGUCUCUAGGAAUGAGAAAUUCAGAGAAUUGCAGAGACUUUAGAGGCCGUUGAAGUCCAUCAUGUGAGGGCUCACGGCCCCGUGUGUUUGCAAAUAGUGGGAGAAAAGAGUGAAUGAGAAACGCCUGGGAAAGAGGCUGAGUUUCGGUUUUCAGCGGCAAAAUUCCUGCCUUCUCAAAAAGAACUCAAGGAGCAAAAUCCAGUAGCUCCUUGUCAGCAGCCUGCCUGCUCUCCCCGCCUGCCUGCCUGCGUGGUGGCAGCCAUCUCAGCUGUUUGUCACUAAGGACUGAGCAAAGGAGCUGAAACUUGAAUUCCUGACCACCUCGGUGGCAGCUCCAUCCUUGGAGGUCCCCGGCUCCUGGGGGGCUGGGGUUUCCCCUUGCCGCUUUAUGCCGGCAAAAGCUGCCCUGCUGCCUUCUGACCUCGUGACAAGCAAUAGUUCCUGGACUGCCCCAGCUCUCCUUGUAGCAAAACCAUCCAGCAGGUUUGGGUUUUUUUGUUGUCAUCAUUAACACAGCUCAUUUCUGCUGCUAAAUUGCAAAUAAAUGCAUGAAUUAAUAAGCAGCAAAUCUCAUCAGGAGCAGUCAUUAUCAGUGACAAAGUGCAUUGCCUGUCUCCCCUAUGGUUCAGGCCGGGUUAAAACGGGGAUUUGCUGAGUUCCUCCCCCCUCUCCUGGCAGCACCGGAGCCCCUGGAGCUGCACGGGGGAUUUUCCAGGCAGCGUUUCCCAACCUGGACACUUGUUGGUGCUUGGUGGCACCGAGACCUGCUGUCCCCACCACGGGCUUGGCCAACUGUGCCAGCAGAGGCGAUGUCUUUGGACACUUCUGCACCUGCCUCGAGGUCCAAACACUGUUGGGGUACGUAGUGUCCAGCUGCCUGGCCCUGCUGCCCGCAGCGGAGGCAGGAGCACGAGCAGGAGGAUGCUGCACUGCUUUAUUGGAGGUGUCACCUGCUCAGCUAAUGCAAGGAGCAAAGAAGAGGUGACCCAGGGACAUCUGCCGGUGGCCCCUGCCGGCAGGGCUCGGUGAACAGUGAGACAUCCUUGCAUUAAGUAGACCAGGGACACCCAACCCCCAGUAGGGUAUAAGCUGAAAUUAAUUAUGUGACCCUUGCGAUUUUUCUAGAGUCAGUCUUGCUGGGAAAAAAAGGCGAAGGAUUUUUAACACAGGGUACGGUAGAACUGUAGCAAUAUUUUCCUUAGAGGGAACACUGAAAUUUUAGCAGCACAAACAGUACUUGUGUUAAUAUUUUAGCGAAAUUAUAAUCAAUUUAAAUGUUUAAAUUGAUUGUAUGUGAGAUAAUGUUUGUUCAGUACAUUGUAUUUUUUCUAACUAUAUAACUGUUCCAGAGUUUCCUUGUAACCGUAACGACCUAAAGCUCUGUCUGACUGCGGGACGUGUCCUGACCCCUGGUGUAACCAUGCUCAAUAUUACAACAUCUGAAUGUACGCACCGAGGCCUGCAUUGCCUUUCUUUCCUCCCCCCCACUCCCACCCCCCCGGCGGUGGGAUGCAGAAGGGGCACACACGCACACCCCACGCACGCCCUCACGCCGUCCCCACCUUAAGAGCAGCAACGGUGAAACGGGGACCACCUCAGCACCACUUCACCCCCACCCCGGCCGAGGCACCCUUGUUCUUCUCAAGGUCAGCAGCUUUUUACAGCUCCCCAAAAGUCAGUAUUACCCUGUGUCUUGCCGUCGGCACGGUCAGCGUGCGAGGACCUGGCUGCGUUUUGCUGGGCAGGAGAGGAAGAGGAGGAGGAGGAGGAGAAGGAGGAAGGGGCUUGGGCACCUGAGAGGUUUCCUAGCAGCAAAAAGGCAGGACAGAUUGCUCCUUGAUUAAGCUGGAGCCAGGAAUAACGUGUCCGGCCACACCAAGGAAGCUUAACCCUGCUCCCUCUGCCACCAAAGAUGUCAGUCCCCAUCAGUGGCACAGAGGACAUCCCUGCCAGGGUGGCACAGCGAAGGAUGGGAUCCACAGGGCAGGCAGCACCUACGGGCAGGCAGCCCGCAAUUGCCAUAUUUUUUUCCAGGCACUAGCAAUGGGUUUAUGUUCGGAGUCGCCGAGGCUGUGUCAUUAAGCUGUAAUUAACAUGGUACCGCGCUGCCCCAGACACACACGCCUUGGACCGAGCAUUUGCCCAUCUUGAACUAAAACCAUUUUCUGGUUCCUUGGCUGUCACCCAGUGCCCGUGUAGCCCCCCAGCCCUCGAGGCUGAAUUCAGACAUGUUGGGGGCAGGAUGAGUGUCCCCCAGCCUGCCCAGCCGUGCUCCCCGCUGUAGGAAACCCCUCUUUUUGCCAGCCCCCCCAGAUGCCAGCAGUGCCCUGCAUCAUUUGUAGCACAGCGGCGUGUCCCCAACUCGUCAGGCAGACUAAGUGUGUACAGGUGUGGGCUGUAGCUGAAUAUAACCCUACAGGCUUCUGGUUAGAGAAUUAGAUCCAUGGCUGUGAUAACUGUAGUGUAUUCUUUGGGGUUCAAGUAUUCGUAACAUCAUCCUUCGUACUUCUUUCCCCUGUGGUUUUUCCCUCCCUGCUCAUUCACCCUGUGUACAGCAGCUUUCCUUGUAGCCCUCCAGACCAGGUCCCAAGAGCACGUCGGGACCGUGCUGUGACCCUGUCCCUCACCAGCCACUGCCCCCACUCUGUCCUCACAACCUCUCAGUAUCUCCCCUCUCCUCCUCGAGAGCGCAGAAGCCCAGCAGAAGCCUGCUGCUCUCAGGCUGGCGUCCCAAAAGCUUCUGCACAGCGUUAGCACUGAAUUUGGGUGUAAAGAAGAAGAGUCCAAACAACCCUGGAGCUUCCCUGGAGAUGUGUUCUCCCACAUCACCUCGCUCCGAGAGGUUCUGGUGUCACACCAGGUUCUUUCUCGGCACCCAAGUUAACCACAUCACGGGUUUUGCAUAUUUAUUUUAAGCAUAUUAAAAGAUUUGAAAGAAUUGGAAAUUUUUUUUCCAACAUUUUAAGCUAUUCCUAGCGAAGUGGGAGUUUUGCUUAAAUGCUAGUUAUUAAAAAGAUCUCCCCCCAUUACAUGCUUCUGUCUCUCAGGCAGCUUGAGCAGAGCCCUCCCGCUGCCCCCUCUACAUGCACUUGGGGUUUCACUGGCUCUUCUGUGGGGACACAGUGGGAUGAGCUUCCCAGCAGUUCAUACUACAACAGCGAGUGACACCUACAGCAUUUCUUUGCUACUUGUGUCAACCAGCAAUUCUUCUGUCACCUCCCUCUCUCUCCACAACCACCCACCCCCAAAUGGCAUACGGCUGGCUCUUCGUUAAGGCCACUUAAAACGAAGCUAAGUGUGGUCAUUGUGUAUUUGUUAUUAAAUGACACCAUUACGUCUGGUGGGGUGGGUGUUUCUCUGGAUACAAGCUGCUGUACAUAUUUGCAGACUUUCCUCCAGCCCCCUCUGUGUUCCCGCAGCGCCCUGGGGGGAGCAGCUGGGUCUAGUUCCACUCUGGUUUAUUCCCAAUACUUUUCUAGGGAGCAGGUUGAGGCUGCAGGUGGCAGAAGCCCCUUUCCCAGCACCAGGGAGGCUCAAAACCCAGCCUUCGCUGUCUCAACUUGAAACCCGAGUUCAGCUGCCUGCGUUUUGUUGCAAUACGCAUUUAAAACCUCAGAUUCUUUAAGAGUUUUAAUAUCAAACCGAUACCAAAUGUGGUUUGCGACUUUCAGUUUCUCUGCAGAUACCUCUGUAUAAGCAGACCGCUUCCAAGAGUUGCAGUUGUCACUAAUCUUACGUGCAUUGUAGUAUAAAGUGGACUGUGUAUGGAAAUAAGUUUAAAAUGUUUACAACUUUUGUAUAUAUUAUAUAUAUAAAAAUAUCUUUUGAGAGAACAAUCUGUGACUAUGUAUUUUCAGUGUCCGUGUACCAACUGCAACUUAUUUUCAAUAAAGAAUUAAAAAAAUGAA